rnacentral:rRNA from 1 species
GACGAACGCUGGCGGCGUGCUUAACACAUGCAAGUCGAACGGAAAGGCCCUGCUUUUGUGGGGUGCUCGAGUGGCGAACGGGUGAGUAACACGUGAGUAACCUGCCCUUGACUUUGGGAUAACUUCAGGAAACUGGGGCUAAUACCGGAUAGGAGCUCCUGCUGCAUGGUGGGGGUUGGAAAGUUUCGGCGGUUGGGGAUGGACUCGCGGCUUAUCAGCUUGUUGGUGGGGUAGUGGCUUACCAAGGCUUUGACGGGUAGCCGGCCUGAGAGGGUGACCGGCCACAUUUGGACUGAGGUACGGCCCAGACUCCUACGGGAGGCAGCAGUGGGGAAUAUUGCACAAUGGGCGGAAGCCUGAUGCAGCAACGCCGCGUGCGGGAUGACGGCCUUCGGGUUGUAAACCGCUUUCGCCUGUGACGAAGCGUGAGUGACGGUAAUGGGUAAAGAAGCACCGGCUAACUACGUG